rnacentral:rRNA from 1 species
UACGAAGGGGGCUAGCGUUGUUCGGAAUUACUGGGCGUAAAGCGUGCGCAGGCGGCUUCUCAAGUCAGGGGUGAAAGCCCAGAGCUCAACUCCAGAACUGCCUUUGAUACUGGCGAUCUUGAGUCCGGGAGAGGUGAGUGGAACUCCGAGUGUAGAGGUGAAAUUCGUAGAUAUUCGGAAGAACACCAGUGGCGAAGGCGGCUCACUGGCCCGGUACUGACGCUGAUGUGCGAAAGCGUGGGGAGCAAACAGG